UUUAGUCAGGCAACGAGCGAGACCCACGCCCACAGUUGCCAGCGUACUCUCCGGAGUGACGGGUACACUGUGGGGACCGCCGCUGCUAAAGCGGAGGAAGGAAUGGGCAACGGUAGGUCAGUAUGCCCCGAAUGUCCCGGGCUACACGCGGGCUACAAUGGUUGGUACAAUGGGUAUCUACCCCGAAAGGGGAUGGAAAUCUCCUAAAGCCAAUCUUAGUUCGGAUCGAGGGCUGCAACUCGCCCUCGUGAAGCUGGAAUCCGUAGUAAUCGCGUUUCAAUAGAACGCGGUGAAUACGUCCCUGCUCCUUGCACA
rnacentral:rRNA from 1 species